rnacentral:rRNA from 1 species
GACGAACGCUGGCGGCGUGCUUAACACAUGCAAGUCGAACGGAAAGGCCCUGCUUUUGUGGGGUGCUCGAGUGGCGAACGGGUGAGUAACACGUGAGUAACCUGCCCUUGACUUUGGGAUAACUUCAGGAAACUGGGGCUAAUACCGGAUAGGAGCUCCUGCUGCAUGGUGGGGGUUGGAAAGUUUCGGCGGUUGGGGAUGGACUCGCGGCUUAUCAGCUUGUUGGUGGGGUAGUGGCUUACCAAGGCUUUGACGGGUAGCCGGCCUGAGAGGGUGACCGGCCACAUUGAGACUGAGAUACGGCCCAGACUCCUACGGGAGGCAUCAGUGGGGAAUAUUGCACAAUGGGCGGAAGCCUGAUGCAGCAACGCCGCGUGCGGGAUGACGGCCUUCGGGUUGUAAACCGCUUUCGCCUGUGACGAAGCGUGAGUGACGGUAAUGGGUAAAGAAGCACCGGCUAACUACGUG